GGUGAAAAGCACCCCGGAAGGGGAGUGAAAUAGAACCUGAAACCGUGUGCUUACAAGUAGUCAGAGCCCGUUAAUGGGUGAUGGCGUGCCUUUUGUAGAAUGAACCGGCGAGUUACGAUUUGAUGCAAGGUUAAGCAGUAAAUGUGGAGCCGUAGCGAAAGCGAGUCUGAAUAGGGCGUUUAGUAUUUGGUCGUAGACCCGAAACCAGGUGAUCUACCCUUGGUCAGGUUGAAGUUCAGGUAACACUGAAUGGAGGACCGAACCGACUUACGUUGAAAAGUGAGCGGAUGAACUGAGGGUAGCGGAGAAAUUCCAAUCGAACCUGGAGAUAGCUGGUUCUCUCCGAAAUAGCUUUAGGGCUAGCCUCAAGUGAUGAUUAUUGGAGGUAGAGCACUGUUUGGACGAGGGGCCCCUCUCGGGUUACCGAAUUCAGACAAACUCCGAAUGCCAAUUAAUUUAACUUGGGAGUCAGAACAUGGGUGAUAAGGUCCGUGUUCGAAAGGGAAACAGCCCAGACCACCAGCUAAGGUCCCAAAAUAUAUGUUAAGUGGAAAAGGAUGUGGCGUUGCCCAGACAACUAGGAUGUUGGCUUAGAAGCAGCCAUCAUUUAAAGAGUGCGUAAUAGCUCACUAGUCGAGUGACACUGCGCCGAAAAUGUACCGGGGCUAAACAUAUUACCGAAGCUGUGGAUUGUCCUUUGGACAAUGGUAGGAGAGCGUUCUAAGGGCGUUGAAGCAUGAUCGUAAGGACAUGUGGAGCGCUUAGAAGUGAGAAUGCCGGUGUGAGUAGCGAAAGACGGGUGAGAAUCCCGUCCACCGAUUGACUAAGGUUUCCAGAGGAAGGCUCGUCCGCUCUGGGUUAGUCGGGUCCUAAGCUGAGGCCGACAGGCGUAGGCGAUGGAUAACAGGUUGAUAUUCCUGUACCACCUAUAAUCGUUUUAAUCGAUGGGGGGACGCAGUAGGAUAGGCGAAGCGUGCGAUUGGAUUGCACGUCUAAGCAGUAAGGCUGAGUAUUAGGCAAAUCCGGUACUCAUUAAGGCUGAGCUGUGAUGGGGAGAAGACAUUGUGUCUUCGAGUCGUUGAUUUCACACUGCCGAGAAAAGCCUCUAGAUAGAAAAUAGGUGCCCGUACCGCAAACCGACACAGGUAGUCAAGAUGAGAAUUCUAAGGUGAGCGAGCGAACUCUCGUUAAGGAACUCGGCAAAAUGACCCCGUAACUUCGGGAGAAGGGGUGCUCUUUAGGGUUAACGCCCAGAAGAGCCGCAGUGAAUAGGCCCAAGCGACUGUUUAUCAAAAACACAGGUCUCUGCUAAACCGUAAGGUGAUGUAUAGGGGCUGACGCCUGCCCGGUGCUGGAAGGUUAAGAGGAGUGGUUAGCUUCUGCGAAGCUACGAAUCGAAGCCCCAGUAAACGGCGGCCGUAACUAUAACGGUCCUAAGGUAGCGAAAUUCCUUGUCGGGUAAGUUCCGACCCGCACGAAAGGCGUAACGAUUUGGGCACUGUCUCAACGAGAGACUCGGUGAAAUCAUAGUACCUGUGAAGAUGCAGGUUACCCGCGACAGGACGGAAAGACCCCGUGGAGCUUUACUGUAGCCUGAUAUUGAAAUUCGGCACAGCUUGUACAGGAUAGGUAGGAGCCUUUGAAACGUGAGCGCUAGCUUACGUGGAGGCGCUGGUGGGAUACUACCCUAGCUGUGUUGGCUUUCUAACCCGCACCACUUAUCGUGGUGGGAGACAGUGUCAGGCGGGCAGUUUGACUGGGGCGGUCGCCUCCUAAAAGGUAACGGAGGCGCUCAAAGGUUCCCUCAGAAUGGUUGGAAAUCAUUCAUAGAGUGUAAAGGCAUAAGGGAGCUUGACUGCGAGACCUACAAGUCGAGCAGGGUCGAAAGACGGACUUAGUGAUCCGGUGGUUCCGCAUGGAAGGGCCAUCGCUCAACGGAUAAAAGCUACCCCGGGGAUAACAGGCUUAUCUCCCCCAAGAGUUCACAUCGACGGGGAGGUUUGGCACCUCGAUGUCGGCUCAUCGCAUCCUGGGGCUGUAGUCGGUCCCAAGGGUUGGGCUGUUCGCCCAUUAAAGCGGUACGCGAGCUGGGUUCAGAACGUCGUGAGACAGUUCGGUCCCUAUCCGUCGUGGGCGUAGGAAAUUUGAGAGGAGCUGUCCUUAGUACGAGAGGACCGGGAUGGACAUACCUCUGGUGUACCAGUUGUCGUGCCAACGGCAUAGCUGGGUAGCUAUGUGUGGACGGGAUAAGUGCUGAAA
rnacentral:rRNA from 1 species